rnacentral:rRNA from 1 species
AAUCAACGCUGGCGGCGUGCCUAACACAUGCAAGUCGAGCGCGAAAGGGGGAGCAAUCCCCAAGUAGAGCGGCGAACGGGUGAGUAACGCGUGGGUAAUCUACCUCCGAGUGGGGAAUAACAGCGGGAAACUGCUGCUAAUACCGCAUGACAUCGUCGAGCCUUCGGGUUUGACGAUCAAAGCCGGGGACCGCAAGGCCUGGCGCUUGGAGAGGAGCCCGCGUCCGAUUAGCUAGUUGGCGGGGUAAUGGCCCACCAAGGCUCCGAUCGGUAGCCGGCCUGAGAGGGCGGACGGCCACACUGGGACUGAGACACGGCCCAG